GACAAGAGCAAAAACAAUGCCAGGUGCAAUCCUGUGAUUGAUGCGUGGGGGCUGUUUCUCUUCGGCAGCCCCCAUAGCCCGGUCACUGAUACACGG
ensembl:snoRNA